GUCUCAUGGCUAAGCGGUACAACGCUUGUCAUGCUGGCUUGGGACUGGUGAGGCUCGGGUUCGAAUCCCGGUGUGAGCU
rnacentral:tRNA from 1 species